GGAGAGAUGACCGAGAGGCCGAAGGUGCUCGCCUGCUAAGCGAGUGUACACUGAUAAGGUGUAUCGAGGGUUCGAAUCCCUCUCUCUCCGCCA
rnacentral:tRNA from 1 species